UUUUGUUCUGGAUAUAAGCUUUCGUGUGCAUGUACAUUUCUUCAUGUGUGCAUGCACACGAAAGCUUAUAUCCAGAACAAAC
rnacentral:miRNA from 1 species